CUGGGAACCAACUGGAAACCUGGGGACUUUAGUCAUGGUUGUCUGCUCUUGGGCGGGCCUUGCUGUGCUACCUGCUUCAUCUCAAGUACCGGUGGCAAGUCUUCCACCUCCAGGUGUCUUUCUGUGAAAACGUUUCAUUAUAAGGAAACUGAGGCAUGGAAAAGCUACACAACUUUCCCAAGAUCACCUCACUGCUCAGAAAACAGGGCCCUGGAGACAGGCUACUACCCUCCCACCUGAGUUCAGAAUCACCCUGCAAACCACCUCCUGGUAGAUAAGAGAUGUACAAAGAAUCAUCAAAAAGAUGCCAACAAGAAGUGAAAUUCCAGAAGGAACUUGAAAAAUAUGUUGCCUCUCUAUCUCAGGACUAUGGUUCUAGCUCUAGCUCUGUGUCUAGUGAUUUCCUUUUGGGUUUGUUUGUUGCUUAUCCUGUGGAUCUCUGGCCACCAAAAAUGAGACAAAGAUGUGGUCCUGGAUCGCACCAUCUUUCUCUGCUUUGAAGUCAGUGCAAAUCACUUAAAAACAAAAUGAAACAAAACAUGUUGCCUGGCUGUUCAGGGGAAGCUGGGCCUGCUGGUCAGGAGCCAGGCCUGGCAUUGAGUCCAGGAGAGUGCGGCUGUGGGCAUUUCCUGUGGCCGGGAGAUGACUCAGGAUGAACUCCGGCCCCUGAGCCACAGGCACCCCCCCGCACUUCACAGUUACCACCCACACCCCACCCUACCCCCACUCCCCGUAGCUGGCAGUGAGCCUGGCAGUCACACUGCCAGCUACAGGGAGCCUGUCCUGUGAGUUAGGCCUGCUCCAGAGGCCCACACAGUCAGGGUUCAGAAAUUAGAUUGAAGUCUAAAAGAAUUGAACUCUUUCUGUCUUUUAGUUUGUGGAAUAAAUCCAAAGACGUUAUUUUCCAGAAAAA